rnacentral:rRNA from 1 species
UACGGAGGAUGCGAGCGUUAUCCGGAUUUAUUGGGUUUAAAGGGUGCGCAGGCGGAUUUUUAAGUCAGCGGUCAAACCGUGGGGCUCAACCCCAUCCAGCCGUUGAAACUGGGGAUCUAGAGUGUGCGAGAGGUAUGCGGAAUGCGUGGUGUAGCGGUGAAAUGCAUAGAUAUCACGCAGAACCCCGAUUGCGAAGGCAGCAUACCGGUGCACAACUGACGCUCAGGCACGAAAGCGUGGGUAUCGAACAGG